rnacentral:rRNA from 1 species
UACGUAGGGGGCAAGCGUUGUCCGGAAUCAUUGGGCGUAAAGAGCGCGUAGGCGGCCCUGUAAGUCCGCUGUGAAAGUCAAGGGCUCAACCCUUGGAUGCCGGUGGAUACUGCAGGGCUAGAGUCCGGAAGAGGAGAGUGGAAUUCCCGGUGUAGCGGUGAAAUGCGCAGAUAUCGGGAAGAACACCCGUGGCUAAGGCGGCUCUCUAGUACGGUACUGACGCUGAGACGCGAAAGCGUGGGGAGCGAACAGG